rnacentral:lncRNA from 1 species
AGUUGGCCCUGGAACUCAAGCCUGGAGGAGCUCCUCUGAUUGCUUCCUUUUAGACAGUCACGUGGUGACUGGUAAGACGUGGUACUUGUGCCUCCUCAGUUGUAUAACCACAUGCUCAAGAUGUGCGUGACAAACGUCAGACUAUUUGAAGACCACGAUCACUGGCCAAGGACAUGACCAGCCAUCUUGAAACUAACACAGACCACCAUAAUUGUUCUGCAGAAAUGAGCCUUAUAUGACCUUUCAUUAAGUCUAUUCCAAAUCUAAAUUUCUCCUCCACUUAUGUUACUAUACUUCAUUUGGAGAGUUUUUCAAAUGAACUUAACACUGAUUAGUCAUUCAGCAGAGCAUCAAUAAAAGUUUAGCAUGAAUGCCAGUGGUGGAAGAGAAGAGAGCCAUGUCUAAAGAUAUUCCUUCCUCACAAAGCAGCCCAAGGAAACCAAGGAGAUGUCCUUCUAUUGCGGAAAGGCCAAAUCCCAUGGAAGUCGUGGAAUAUUAUGAUGAUGAAAUGGACAGUGUGUCAGAGGAGACGGGGAAGACCUCUGCAUUGAAACCCAGGAGAACAAUCUAUAGAAACACAACGAUAUUACAGGGGAAAACAAACUGGUGCAGUGAUGUAGAAACUCUUCUUUGUCGGUACUGGGUGGAUCAGAGAGUCUUUCGAUCCCUCCCAGUGGUGAGCACCUUGGAUCUUGCUCCCAUCUCACACUGAAACCACCGAAUGGGGCCACAGACAGUGAUCCAAAGCAGUGUCAGUUUCUCAAGUGUCCAGAACAGCCGGUUGUUUUUCUAGUUGCUUUCUUGGGUAUUGUGUUCAGUGAGAUUGUAGGCUACUUAAGAGCAGGAAA